CACUAUUUAUAUUAGGAGAAUGGUUUGGAAAGACUAGCAGUAAAGGGUGAUAGCCCCGUAUCCGAAGGUAUAGGUAGAGUGAGCUCGAAGAGUAAGACGGGACACGUGUUAUCCUGUCUGAAUAUGGGGGGACCAUCCUCCAAGGCUAAAUACUCCUGAUUGACCGAUAGUGACCCAGUACCGUGAGGGAAAGGCGAAAAGAACCUUGGCAAGAGGAGUGAAAUAGAACCUGAAACCGCGUACGUACAAGCAUUGGGAGCCCCGCCACCGAAGUAUUUGUUUUUUUUUGAAGGUUGAUGUCGCGCACCAAUCUUAUAACUCCGUAGCUAGAAUCAAAAUACCGGUGUCAAAUAAAUUGCGAUAAGGUUAGUUGCUUACAGCUGGAAAUUAUGGAGUACUUUGGGGUGGGGUGACUGCGUACCUUUUGUAUAAUGGGUCAGCGACUUAUAUUCUGUAGCAAGGUUAACCGCAUAGGGGAGCCGUAGGGAAACCGAGUCUUAAUUGGGCGUUUAGUUGCAGGGUAUAGACCCGAAACCCGGUGAUC
rnacentral:rRNA from 1 species